CGCACAUGCAAAGUCGCAUUUUAAAAGUUUCCGUUCGUUUUUCAACAUAUUAAAACAACUAUAAAAUAAGACUAAAAUUCAAACUAAAAUUACGUAAAAGAAUUCCUAUUUCUAUCUUAUCGGCAGGAAAACGAAAAAAUGUCCCAAUAGGCAAUAUAUUUAAAACUUUUUUUACGGCAUUAAUUAUUCAUCGAGAGAUCGUUAUGGCGAAAAGACGUAGAUAAAGUAUUAUUUUUAGCCAAGAAUGUGUCGCGUACGUGGGUGGUCGUGAGUGUCGCGAUACGAGAAAAAGUAUAUUUUAAAACCAAUAUUUUAUCGACCUUGCUUGUAAAACUUUUCUCGAUAAAGUUACGAUGCUUUUUAUUCCACCUUUUUGACAUCCGUUUUUGACACUCAUUUCGUUUGACAUCUUAUUUGGAUUUCCAUAUAUGGAGUGAAUUAAUUCAUGAAUCUGCACUUUUCCUACGCAUUUAGAUAUAUAUGACUUUAAUUUAAAAUCGUAAAUGUAAAUUAUAAGAAAGCUUCGGAUUAAUAGGGAUACAACUACCUGAAAAAUACAAGGAGAAUGUAGUAUUGUAGAUGUUUCGAGCGAAGGCCUUUCGUUGGGACCUUAGUAGCCAAAGGAACUUAGUAUAUCCUUCCCGAUGAAGGUCCUUCGCUCGAAACAUCGAAGUUCUCCUUGUAUUUUCAGGUAGUCGCAUCUCUACCAAUCCACAGGUUUCUUAGGCCAGGGUUCAAAAGUAGAACUUUUCAUGCGCCGAACCUAAUGCAAAUGAAGUGAAACAAAAAACUUAGCUCAUUAACAUUAGGUUCGGCACUUGAAAAGUUCGACGUUUGACCCUGGUCUUAUGAUUGCCACAACCUACACUGCCAUUCUAGAUUAACGUAAAAUAUUGCGUGUGAACCACGCGUGGCGUGGGGGUUACUUAAAAACUGAAAAAAAGUCAUGUAGGUGGUACAGCGCCACUUAAUGUAUAGCUAGCUUUCAAAAAACGUUUGGGGGCAGCAGUCCACUUUAGAACUGCCGACAUUUAUACAGAAGCAAGGAAUUAAAUUUGUUUCAUUAAAUUUGAGCGAUAGAAGGUUUUGAGAAGUGAAUUUUUUAACAAGAGGCUCACACUACACAACGAUAACUUGUAAACAUUUGC